rnacentral:rRNA from 1 species
GACGAACGCUGGCGGCGUGCCUAAUACAUGCAAGUCGAGCGAAGCGACGGAUGGGUGAGUAACGCGUGGGUAACCUGCCCUUAAGUCUGGGAUACCAUUUGGAAACAGAUGCUAAUACCGGAUAAUAACGGAUUGACCUGCGACGCAGUAGCUAGUUGUUCAGGUAACGGCUUACAACGGCGAUGAUGCAUAGCCGUGUUGAGAGACUGAUCGGCCACAUGGGGACUGAGACACGGCCCAAACUCCUACGGUAGGCAGCAGUAGGGAAUCUUCCACAAUGGACGAAAGUCUGACGGAGCAACGCCGCGUGAGUGAAGAAGGUUUUCGGAUCGUAAAGCUCUGUUGUUGGUGAAGCGGUAAUCAACCAGAAAGUCACGGCUAACUACGUGCCAGCCGCCGCGGUAAUUC